UUUUAUGGAGAGUUUGAUCCUGGCUCAGAGUGAACGCUGGCGGCGUGCCUAAUACAUGCAAGUCGAACGAUGAAGCUUUUAGCUUGCUAGAAGUGGAUUAGUGGCGCACGGGUGAGUAAGGUAUAGUUAAUCUGCCCUACACAAGAGGACAACAGUUGGAAACGACUGCUAAUACUCUAUACUCCUGCUUAACACAAGUUGAGUAGAAGGUUUUACUGUGUAGGA
rnacentral:rRNA from 1 species